AAAUUAUGAAUAUUACAGAAACUGCUGUUAUCACGGGUAUUACUUUUUCAAGUUAUCUCUUAAAUUAGAAGACCUCGAUAACAUAUUUUUACAAUGGUUAACUUCAUUUCAAAAAAAUUGUGUGGAGAUGAUUCAGUUUAUGUACAUAGCUAUUGAAGAUGAUAAGAUUAAAAAAUUAAUUAGCACUUUAGCAACAUCCGAGUUGGCUGUUUCAUACGUUAAUGUGAUUGCUCUACCUAAUGAUGCUAUUGCUGUCAUUAAUGCAAGAUGGCGACAGACUAGUAAAUAAAAACAAUGCAUUUAUAAAUGUUAUGAUUGGUUUUUUAAGUCAAUCGUCAUU
rnacentral:lncRNA from 1 species